rnacentral:rRNA from 1 species
UACGAAGGGGGCUAGCGUUGUUCGGAAUUACUGGGCGUAAAGCGUGCGCAGGCGGCUUCUCAAGUCAGGGGUGAAAGCCCAGAGCUCAACUCUGGAAUUGCCUUUGAGACUGAGAGGCUUGAGUACGGGGGAGGUGAGUGGAAUUCCCAGUGUAGAGGUGAAAUUCGUAGAUAUUGGGAAGAACACCGGUGGCGAAGGCGGCUCACUGGCCCGUAACUGACGCUCAGGCACGACAGCGUGGGGAUCAAACAGG